UACGGGGGGGGCAAGCGUUGUUCGGAAUUACUGGGCGUAAAGGGCGCGUAGGCGGCUUGCACCGUCAGAUGUGAAAUUCCUGGGCUUAACCUGGGGGCUGCAUUUGAUACGUGUGGGCUUGAGUGCGGAAGAGGGUCGUGGAAUUCCCAGUGUAGAGGUGAAAUUCGUAGAUAUUGGGAAGAACACCGGUGGCGAAGGCAGGUCUCUGGGCCACUACUGACGCUGAGAAGCGAAAGCAUGGGGAGCGAACAGG
rnacentral:rRNA from 1 species